GUCCCUGUAGCUUAAACCAAAGCAUGGCACUGAAGACGCCAAGAUGGGAUCACCCCCAAGGAC
rnacentral:tRNA from 1 species